rnacentral:rRNA from 1 species
UACGUAGGGGGCAAGCGUUGCCCGGAUUUAUUGGGCGUAAAGAGCGUGUAGGCGGCCUGGUAGGUCAGCUGUGAAAACUCGAGGCUCAACCUCGAGACGCCGGUUGAAACCAUCAGGCUAGAGUCCGGAAGAGGAGAGUGGAAUUCCUGGUGUAGCGGUGAAAUGCGCAGAUAUCAGGAAGAACACCAAUGGCGAAGGCAGCUCUCUGGGACGGUACUGACGCUGAGACGCGAAAGCGUGGGGAGCGAACAGG